ACAUACUCAAACCAAUUUUCCUUAAGCUAAGAUUUGUAACUCUAGUGAUUGAUUAAAAUCUUCAACAAAGAGAAUCAUGCCAGCCCAGAAAAUAGGUGUUGUAUUUGGCUUAGGAGCCGUGUUUGGGAUCCUAAAGAGUCGAGGUGCAUAUGUCCAUUGCCACAAAGCAGCCAUACUACUAAGACACCGUCGUAACAAACAUGCUCCUACAAAACAAGUUGAUGUAGCGCAGGAUAAGACCGCUCUUUUGGAUAAAGAUGAUAAUUAGCACCUAUGUUCAUGUAAAUAUCUUUAUUAUUGUAUGGUGUUGUUUCUAGCUAUUUUGUAUUAAUUUCACAUGAUUAAUAAUAAAGAUUAAUUAAUAUACACUGUCAAAGUAAAAAGUUUUAUACCGUCUGUUUGUCACCAUCAUCCGUUUGUAUUACUUUAUAGAUUUUUAAAAUAAAAGUUAAACUUCUUUUAAUAUCCAACGUCUAUAAUUAAGUGAUGGUGUAAAAUCAUUUUAUUCUGACAGUGUAUUUUAAUUAAUCUCUUAAUAAUAAUAAUAGUUGUUGUAUUUAAAUUGAAUAAAUCAUAAACUGUUAUAAAAUUUUAAUUUAUUUAAAAAUAAA
rnacentral:lncRNA from 1 species